UAACAAUUAAAUUUGCUCAUGGCACGCUUUAUAUUGGAUUAUCUGUCCAAAUGAAACUUUUUGAAAUGGCAAGUUAACAUUUCAAUUAAAAUUACUUUUCAUCCACAGAUAAUUUGUUCAAGAAAUUUCCAUCAAGAAUCAAGAAAUGUUAGACCUGUCCCAGGGAGUUUCAACUUUUCCAAGGGAAGGAAUAGAAGCGUCCACUUAAUCUGGAAUUUCUGCGAAGCAUGGCAUCCAUUCUUUAUUUACAUUUCUAUUUCCAUUGAACUGGUAAAUGGAAAAUUAUUUCUGGACAAUAUUCAUCUAGCAAAAUUGUUGAGCCUGAACUGCUUCUAGGAACAAUAGGAAUGGAUUUAAAGGUGUUUACUCCAAGUUUUCUAACAAAUGUUUAGUUUAGACUGCAAAUUCGUCGAUGAGUUGGAGCAGGAAAACGUUGAGUGCUGCGUCUAUGUGAGCAAGGAUUAAAUAUGAAAUGAAAGUUGAUUAGAGUUCCGGUGACGUCCUGGAGCAAUUUAGUUUAGAGUGAUAAACGGCGAAUUUGCACGAAUAUCCCACAAUGAGGGGAAGAGCAAAGGCCCUCAAUUGGAAACUGAGUGAUUCAGGAUUCAUCAGCAUCUCAUAAGAAUCACGAAGAUCCGAGUUUAGCUGCUACAUUUUGUAUAUGUAUGUAUGUAUAUUCAAAUAAUUGGAAGGAGAAUUCGUCGUCCGAUAAUCUAAGUAAAAUAUGGUGUACUUAA